rfam:Gossypium raimondii Chr03_contig_248, whole genome shotgun sequence.
AAUUUAUGCUGAGGACACCUUCUCAAAAUAUCCUUAAAUCCCUCUCAUGCAUCAUAUAACGUCUCCAAAUCAAUUUGAGCAAAAAAAGAGAUGUUGUUCCUUGUAAC